CCGAGUGCGGGCCCUCUGGGUCCAACCUCCCAUCCGUGUCUCUUGUACCCUGUUGCUUCGGCGGGCCCGCCUUUUGGCCGCCGGGGGGCUUCCUGCCCCCGGGCCCGCGCCCGCCGGAGACUCCAACAUUGAACACUGUCUGAAGGUUGCAGUCUGAGUUUUCAUAAAGAAAAAUCGUUA
rnacentral:misc_RNA from 1 species